UUUACAUGUUUUCUCGUCUGUCUGGUAGGUUUCCCUGCUUAAACCUUUGCCUUUUACCUAAUUUAUACCUAACCUAUUCAUCAUUCAGAUUUCAGCUCACUGACCGUUCUGCAGUGAACUUUUCCUGAUCUCCCAGACUGUGUGAGCUCCUUUUCUGUAUGCUCAUAUAGCACCAUAUUUUUUCCCUUCAGAAAAUUUAUCACAGUUGUAGUUUUAAUUUUACUUAAGCUCUGUAAGGGCAGAGCCCAUCUGGUUUUGUUCACAAUUAUGUCCCUAAUGCUGCACACAGUAUCUGUCAGAUAAUAGGUACUCAAGAAAUUGAGUUUGCAGGUUCUGGAAGAACUAGAGA